AGUGAACGCUGGCGGUAGGCCUAACACAUGCAAGUCGAACGGCAGCACAGUAAGAGCUUGCUCUUCCGGGUGGCGAGUGGCGGACGUGUCAGGAAUGUAUCGGAAUCUACUUUUUCGUGGGGCAUCACGUAGCUAAAGUUACGCUCAUACCGCAUCCGCCGUACCAUUGAGAGCAGGGGAUAUUCGCACCUGUCGCGAUUGAAUGAGCCGAUGUCGGAGUAGCUAGUUGGCGGGGUGAAGGCCCAGCAAGUCGGCGAUCGGUAGCUGGACUGAGAGGAUGGUAGGCGGCACGAGAGGUUGGACAGGGUCCAGGCGCCUGCGAGAGGCAGCAGUGGGGUACAGGGGACAAUAGGCGGAAGCCUGAUCCAGCCAUACCGCGUGGGUGAAGAAGGCCUUCGGGUUGUAAAGCCCGUUUGUUGGGAAAGAAAAGCAGCAGGUUGAUACCCAGCUGGACUGACGGUACCCAGAGAAUAAGCACCGGCUAACUUCGUG
rnacentral:rRNA from 1 species